AUGAAACGCUAGCGACAGGCCUAACACAUGCAAGUCGAGGGGCAGCACAUGAGUAGCAAUACGAUGGUGGCGACCGGCGCACGGGUGAGUAACACGUAUGCAACCUGCCUGUAAGCGGGGGAAUAACCCGGAGAAAUCCGGACUAAUACCGCAUAAGACUUUAGUACCGCAUGGUAUAGAAGUUAAACAUUUAUGGCUUACAGAUGGGCAUGCGUAUGAUUAGCUGGUUGGUGAGGUAACGGCUCACCAAGGCAACGAUCAUUAGGGGUUCUGAGAGGAAGGUCCCCCACACUGGUACUGAGACACGGACCAGACUCCUACGGGAGGCAGCAGUGAGGAAUAUUGGUCAAUGGGCGAGAGCCUGAACCAGCCAAGUCGCGUGAAGGAAGAAUGUCCUAUGGAUUGUAAACUGCUUUUAGCCGGGAAUAAACACCCGUUUUAUAACGGGCCCGAAGGUACCGGCUGAAUAAGCAUCGGCUAACUCCGUGCCAGCAGCCGCGGU
rnacentral:rRNA from 1 species